GGGGUGGGUAGCGGAGGCUGAUCGCCUCGGUCGUCUCCGGAUCGCCGAUCACCACCGGCCCCCGGUCGGUCUCCACCACCUCCACCUCG
rnacentral:tRNA from 1 species